rnacentral:lncRNA from 1 species
CGGUGGUCUAGCAUCAUAAUGGGACUUUUCUUUUUAACCACAGUUUGUUGUUAAUUUAUAAAGUUACACUAACUUCCACCUCCGUUACAGAGCUUCUAAAAGAAUCAAAGUAUAAAAUAUAUGUGGUUGUAAAAAAGUGCCUUGUAAAUUUUAAAGCACUAGAGAGUGAAUACAUCUCCAGGAUGAGGCCACCCAUUUUGGCUUCCACUAACCCGGAGGAACCUGGAGCAAGGAAACCAAAGGAAGUAUUCAGGAAGCUUCAGAUUUGACUGCUGGCAUUAUAGGCAAGAAUUACACACACGACUUACUGUUCACUAUUGAUGAGAACUCGUGUUCUCAUUUCGGGCAAUGUUUAGAAUGAAGCUCCAUUAAACAUGCUUGCUCCGAGGAA